AAGGUAGAUAUCUCCAGAAUCAGUGAGUGCUUCCUCCAAAUCUGAUGAGGUGUCCAGUUGGAAGGGCAGAGCAGAAAAGGCCCCGAUGACCUCUGUGUCCACUGCAGAGCCCGCUGUCCUGGCUUAUGUCCUGCGAGCAGACUUGAUCUCUGUCAUAAAGGAUCUGAAGAAGAAGCUGAAGCAAAGCAGGGCAGUGAAAAGCCACUUUUAGAACUAUGAGGACUACUUUUGUGAAAGUGGUGACUCUGUGGGCUGUAGGUGCUGUGCUAAGUCAUCCAAGGGAGAAGAGACUGGACAUGGGAUCUCCCUUUGGAAAGUCGAGUAGGUCACACCCAAUGCUGGCUUGAAUGAACAGCUAGGAAGGAGUUACUUUAUUUCUGAUACCUCACGGACAUUGUACCAUACCCACCCGCAUUUAGUUGCUUGCCUGUGGCCAGUGAGGUGACAUAACGGUCCAUCCAUCUUCAGUGAAACUGAGUCUGACCUGUUAAUAAUUGAGGAAAAGUCUCAUGCUGUAUUUCUAAUCGAAAGACUUCUCAAUAUACUGAAAUAACACAUUUUUAGUCAGCAAAAUGCCUUUUUAUUUCAAAUCACACAAUGGAAAUUUUUGUUUGUCUUGUGUCUCAGAUUUGUGUGUGUUUUUGUAAUACUCUGCCUUUCCUUUGUGUGUUUUUUUAACUCAUGCACAUGUGCUCUUUGUACAAUUUUCAAAAGUAAUAAAAACCAACAUAUCAAAAGGAUUUGUUGUGUUUCUCUCAUUUCUUAGUCUCUGUUUGACCUGCGUUGGAUUUAUGGGAAGCAGUCAAGGAGGAAUUGUAAAUACUC